rnacentral:lncRNA from 1 species
CUCCCAGCUCAAGAUGGCGGCGACAGGCGGCACUCCGUCGCCUCCGCCGCCGAGAUCCCUCCGCGCAGGCCCCGCCCCCCCCGGCCUACUUCGUGUCCACGAAGACGCACGCCUCCAAUUGGAGGGGCGGACCCACCUUGCUCAGCCUAGCUAAUCACGGACAUAAUUCAGAAUAUUAACAGGCGCUAUGACCAAUCAAUGCAAGCAGCGGGAAAGGCGGUCCGCCGCCCGCACAAGGACCCAUGGGGCUUGGAGUCCCGAACUUGUAGUGGCCGAGCCGAGCCCUGGGUCGCCUCCGCCCCGGAAGGACUACAAUUCCCGGCCAGACCGCGCGGCGCCGUCACCCCCUGCGGUUUUGAACAGUUGCGGCUGUAGCCAGAGGCCCGGCUGAGACGAGGGCACUGACUAGAAAGGCAGUCGGGGGUAGUUGUGUGCGUGCCUUUGACAACACCUAGGUCCCACCUUUGCACAGCGUCCCCGCCUGCUGCCGCCCCUCGUGGAGGAAAUCCGUUCCGCUCGGCCGGCUUCCCGCCCAGGCGGCCUGGGGUGCGAAGGCUUCGUUUUCCCAUUCCCGCUGCUUCCGGUCCUGAUGGAGGGAGGCGGGCGAAGGGCCUGGGGCCUUCGGCAGCGGAAGAGGCCGCUGAGCGGGCGAGCCCCAUGGUGGUGGCCUGUAGGAGCUGCAGACCCACUCGCUCCGGCCUCCCUUGCAGGCCCCGACCCCUUGGGACUUUGCGCGGCAAAGGUCAGGCCCGCCAUCACCCCAGCCCAGGCCUAGUAGCUUCCAGGAGGCGCGUGCGGGACAGAGGCCCUGCCGGGAAGCUGGCCCCCAGCCCCAUGCAGUCCUGCCUGUUGGAGGUGUUAGGCUCAAAAGCUACUACGGGGAGAUUGGGACAGAGUCCCACAGAGUCAGCAUCAGCUUUGGAGGUCAAGGGUGGCGUCAGCCCUUCUUCCCCUGGAUGGACCACUUUUUCCACCUGUGGAGAGGAGUGACACAACUUGCACCUUGGGUGAACAGUCCUUUAGCCUAGAGGACAGACAGCAUUGAGUCUCUCUCUGGGCUCGAACCCAGGACCUUGCACUUGGAGGCAGCUGCGGUGCCACUGAGCUACACCCCUGGCAGGGCUCUUGCUCUGUGUUGCAAGACAGGCUUUCCAGGGAGUAAACAGCAAGCACCACUGGGACUUUGCUCAAGUUUGGGUCUUUGUUGUCUUUAUUUUUUUGAGGCACGGUCUCACUAUGUAGCUUUGAACUCACUGUGUAGCCCAGUCUGUCCUCAAACUUGUGGUGAUCCUCCUGCCUCAGUCUCCCAGGUGCUGAGAUUAUAGGUGUGUACCACUAUGGCCAGCUGUGUUUUUUUGAGUAGGGUCUCACUAUGUAGUUCAGGUUGGCCUUGAACUCGAUAUCUAGCCCAGGUUGAUUUUGCAACUAGGAUCGUCCCUGUCUCAGCCUCCUGCAGGCUGAGAUUACAGGCCUGGGCUACCAUGCUCUGCCCCUUUAGGCUUCGGAUCAGGCAGGUACAUCAGGAGCUGGCAUCCACCCCAGGUUGCCCCUUCUUCAUUUGAACGGUGUAUAUAGGUAAGUAGUCAGUCACUCAUGGGCACCUCCUCUGUGCAGGCGUUGUCCUGGGCACUGAAAUUACCGUGGGCUCCUCGGGAUGCGCCUCCCUGGCUGUACUUCUGCCUGGUGAGGGUUGGGGGAUGCAAAGUCUGAGUGUGUCAGGGAGGGGUGACCCCCCCCGCUCUGUGACCCAGGGCCCUCCCCUGUCUGCACCUCUCAUGCUCCAAGCCUCAGGACUGCCACUGUCCCUGCUGCUAAUACCCUGAAAUUAGAGCCCCGUAGCGAGUGAGACCUUGCCCAGGCUGGGAGUGGCGUCCACUGGUGAGGUGGGUGAGCCUGGGCUGCCUGGAGCUGAGCUGGACUGAGGGGCAGGGCCUGGUGCCUCCUGCGUGUGCUAGGAGAUAGUGGCCCAGGCCAGCCCUCAGCACCCUAUACCACCAUCCAGUUCCUGGCGAAGGGUCUCGCUGUGCCCCCGGCGAGUGCCACCCUGGCUCCAGUGGGAAGGGUCAGGCUGAGCCCAGGGUGAGUCCCACAGAGCCCUCUGAGCACUGCUUCCCAAGAGCCGCAGGGCCACAGCGAGCAGGUGCUGGUGGGAGGCCACCUGGACUUGGAGAGGCCUCCCAGGUUCAGAGGCGCUGUGUCCUCAGCAAGAGAACAAGUCUCAGAGCUGGGAGGGCCACCGCAGCCAGGGCCAACGCACAGGUGGACAUGCUGGUGCUCCGAGAUGGCUGGCAGAGGGCACCUCUUAGGACCUGUCCCUCCCUACAGCAGAGGCAACCCCACACUCAUUUCCACAUCAGGGUCUCGGAUGUCAUCUUCCUUUGCUUUCACGGAGAAGUUAAAUAGUCACAGUGGAGCCUGAGGGGAUGGCUAGGAUUGCCUUCACCAGGGUGUCCUGGAAUCAGCCUGGGAAGAGCAGCGGGCCCCUAGGGGGCCUUGGUGGGGUCCCCAGGGUGCCAGGACGCAGGAGGAGCAUGGGCCACAGCCCCAGGUUUGCUGGGUGCUGCAGAUGCUGGGUGGCUGAGGGAGCAGGGAGCUCCAAGACUUAUCCCGGCCCCUGUGCACUCCAUGCAGGGCAGCUUAGGUCCCCAGUGGAGUGGGCCUGCCCCCAGCCCACCCUAGCAAGGUUGGCCCUGAGGUUAGUCAUUCCAUUUCCCCCUCCGCCUCCAGGGAGGCCAUCGAGGAGUGUACUUGGCCAGGCGUGUUGACACAAGCCUGUCAUUCCAGCACUCUGGGAGGCUGAGGCAAGAGGGUCACAGGUUUGGGCCCAGCCGAGGCAAUUUAGUGACUUAGCAAGAAAAUAGCAAAAACCGCUGGGGAUGGAGCUCAGUGGGAAGACCUAGGCUUUAUCCCUGGUUCCAGAUACACACACACACACACUCUCUCUCUCUCUCUCUCUCUCUCUCUCUCUCUCUCUCUCUCUCACUCGAGGGAAGGAAGGAGGACAGGGAGCUGGGCCCCUGGGGCCUGCAGUGCCUCCCACACCCUGCUCCUCCCGGCCCUUUCCAUGCUGGUCACUGUGCUCUGAGGGGACCUCUCGUGGCCCCAGGGUGUGGGAGGCAGGGCCUGGGAGGGGGGUCCAGGCUCCUGGGCGGUGAGCCAGGC